rnacentral:rRNA from 1 species
AAGUCGGGUGUGAAAUCCCUCGGCCCAACCGAGGAACUGCGCCCGAAACUGCAUGUCUUGAGGACAGGAGGGGAGCGCGGAAUUCCUGGUGGAGCGGUGAAAUGCGUUGAUAUCAGGAGGAACACCGGCGGCGAAGGCGGCGCUCUGGCCUGUUUCUGACGCUGAGGUGCGAAAGCCAGGGGAGCAUACGGGAUUAGAUACCCCGGUAGUCCUGGCCGUAAACGAU